GUCCACGCCCUAAACGAUGAUGACUAGUUGUUGGAGGAGUUAAAUCCUUUAGUAACGCAGCUAACGCGUGAAGUCAUCCGCCUGGGGAGUACGGUCGCAAGAUUAAAACUCAAAGGAAUUGACGGGGGCCCGCACAAGCGGUGGAUGAUGUGGUUUAAUUCGAUGCAACGCGAAAACCUUACCUACCUUUGACAUGCUAGGAACGCUGCAGAAAUGCAGCGGUGCCCGAAAGGGAACCUAGACACAGGUGCUGCAUGGCUGUCGU
rnacentral:rRNA from 1 species